GCGGAGUCGGUAAUGGUAAUGGUGCUAAGGUGGGAGCUAGUACGGGUGGUGUUGGCAAAGGAGUCGGAGAGACUUGCGGUGGUGGUAAAGGAGGCGGCAAUGGAGGAGGCGUCGCGGGGGGAGGUGGCAAAGCAGGGGGUAGCGACGGGGUGGAGACAGGUGAACUUUGUGGUGGUGGAAUGGUUGGACUUGUUGAUGGUGCAACAACAGUAGGUGGUGGUGUUGACAAUGGUGGAGAAGUCGCUACAGUUGGAGGUGGGGUAGUAGGGGGAGGAGAGACGGUUGGCAAGCUCGGUGGCUGUGCUGGGGCCUGAGCGAACGAGGAAGAGAAUAGAAAGGCAAGGCAGAUGACAAAAAAUGACCAUGAUUUGGAAGCCAUGGUUGGAGAUGGG
rnacentral:lncRNA from 1 species